rnacentral:rRNA from 1 species
GAUGAACGCUGGCGGCGUGCCUAAUACAUGCAAGUCGAGCGAACAGACGAGGAGCUUGCUCCUCUGACGUUAGCGGCGGACGGGUGAGUAACACGUGGAUAACCUACCUAUAAGACUGGGAUAACUUCGGGAAACCGGAGCUAAUACCGGAUAAUAUAUUGAACCGCAUGGUUCAAUAGUGAAAGACGGUUUUGCUGUCACUUAUAGAUGGAUCCGCGCCGCAUUAGCUAGUUGGUAAGGUAACGGCUUACCAAGGCGACGAUGCGUAGCCGACCUGAUAGGGUGAUCGGCCACACUGGAACGUAGACACGGUCCAGACUCCUACGGGAGGCAGCAGUCGGGAAUCUUCCGCAAUGGGCGAAAGCUUGACGGAGCAACGCCGCGUGAGUGAUGAAGAUCUUCGGAUCGUAAAACUCUGUUAUUAGGGAAGAACAAAUGUGUAAGUAACUAUGCACGUCUUGACGGUACCUAAUCAGAAAGCCACGGCUAACUACGUG